GCCCGGAUGGUCUAGUGGUAUGAUUCCUGCUUUGGGUAUAAACAUCAGUUUGCAGGAGGUCUCCGGUUCAAACCCGGAUUCGGGCC